AUAUAAAUGUAACUUUGAUAAAUAACAAUUAUAUGUGUAAAACAAAAUAAUAUCAGUUUUCUUUUGCAGAAAAUAAAUUGUUAAAUGAAACUACAGGAAAAAGUAAUACUGUUUUUAUAAAUGUAUUAUGGGAAUUCUUCAAGCUUACUAGGCUAAAAUUAUUCACUGAAAAAGGUAUUUCUGCAUGUUUGGGGAUUGUGUAUUUAACACAUUUAUUUUUUCUUUCUUAUCCGUGGUGGACAGCUCAAGAAGUCCACCAGUUUUUUUAUAAAAGCAUUUUACUACAUGUUGUUUUGGUUUGUAUAUUUCUCUAUCAGAUUAUAUAUAUAGCAUAUAAUGAUGGAUCUUUAGAGAUAAGCGAAAGUUUGUAAAAGUCUGUAAUAUGUAAUUUUUAGUAUCCUCCAAACAGUCUGGAAGUAUUUACUAUAAACGAGUGCAAGUUUUUACUUAAAUUAUUUCAUAAAGCAUACAUAAAAAAUCUUGUUUUGUUGCAUAUUCUGUGUCAUACAAAGUAUCAUUUUACUCUAAAAUUACGUACUCCAGAAAAUUCAAUUAUGAAACAUUAAUAAAGAAAGUACACAUUGACAAAUGAAUUAUUUACUCGAUGUAGGUUUAUAUUUUUAAAUUGACUCAUGCAUAUAAAUAUGAAGAACUUCUAUUACAUAGUAAAUAAUAUAAAAAAGUCUGAUGAAUUAACAAUUUGUUUAUAUAAAAAGUAUGAUUAGUUCAUUUUUAGUAGUCAUAACUUUCUAUACAUGUUCAUUUACUGGUAGAUGAUUGGUAACCGCAAUCGUGGUUUUCUUCUGCCCCUACAUCUGUAUUUAUCCUGUUAAAACAGUUUUCACUACAUUCUACAUUACUUUUUCGUAACUCGUUUACUAAAUAUUUCAUUUUAGGGAACCACGAACCGUUACUACACACCGACAUGCGCUGUGCUGUCCUUGUAAGAUUUAGUUUCUAAAUGAAAGAAAGUAUUUAAAUUUAAGUCAAUUAAGAUUCAUAAAAAAGACCUUAUAAUUCGUGGUAAAUAAAGCAAUAAAUAUAUCAGAUUUUACAUUAUGUUUCAAGGAAGUAUUUUAGUAAGAAUCUUAAAUUUAAUACAUAUACUGUAAUAUAAACAGUCUAAAGAUUGUUUAGACCACAAUCAAUUA
rnacentral:misc_RNA from 1 species